rnacentral:rRNA from 1 species
AGAGGUUUGUAGUCCUCGGCUCAGAGUGAACGCUGCGGCAGGCCUAACACAUGCAAGUCGAGCGGCAGCGGGUCCUUCGGGAGUGCCGGCGGGCGGGCGGACGGGUGAGGAAUGCAUCGGAAUCUGCCCUGUCUGGGGGAGUAACCUAGGGAAACUUAGGCUAAUACCGCAUACGACCUACGGGUGAAAGCGGGGGAUCGCAAGACCUCGCGCGACAGGAUGAGCCGAUGUCCGAUUAGCUAGUUGGCGGGGUAAAGGCCCACCAAGGCGACGAUCGGUAGCUGGUCUGAGAGGAUGAUCAGCCACACUGGGACUGAGACACGGCCCAGACUCCUACGGGAGGCAGCAGUGGGGAAUAUUGGACAAUGGGCGCAAGCCUGAUCCAGCCAUGCCGCGUGGGUGAAGAAGGCCUUCGGGUUGUAAAGCCCUUUUGUCCGGGAAGAAAUCGUCUGGGCUAAUACCCCGGGCGGAUGACGGUACCGGAAGAAUAAGCACCGGCUAACUUCGCG